rnacentral:tRNA from 1 species
CUCCUCGUAGUUCAAUGGAUAGAACGAGUGCCUCCUAAGCGCUAGAUACAGGUUCGAUCCCUGUCGAGGGGACCA